AUUGAACGCUGGCGGUAUGCUUAACACAUGCAAGUCGAACGAGUGGCGGACGGGUGAGUAAUGCAUAAGAAUCUACCUUUUAGUCUAGGAUAACUACCCGAAAGGGUGGAUUCUACUGUAUGCUCAGAGAUGAGCCUAUGUGGGAUGAGCUAGUUGGGGGGGUAAUGGCUCACCAAGGCGACGAUCUCUAGCUGGUUUGAGAGGAUGAUCAGCCACACUGGGACUGAGACACGGCCCAGACUCCUACGGGAGGCAGCAGUGGGGAAUAUUGGACAAUGGGCGAAAGCCUGAUCCAGCAAUACCGCGUGUGUGAAGAAGGCCCUAGGGUUGUAAAGUACUUUCGGUAGCGAGACGUUAACUGCAGAAGAAGCACCGGCUAACUCCGUGCCAGCAGCCGCGGUAAUAC
rnacentral:rRNA from 1 species